AGAGUUUGAUCCUGGCUCAGGACGAACGCUGGCGGCGUGCCUAAUACAUGCAAGUCGAGCGAGCAGAACCAGCAGAUUUACUUCGGUAAUGACGCUGGGGACGCGAGCGGCGGAUGGGUGAGUAACACGUGGGGAACCUGCCCCAUAGUCUGGGAUACCACUUGGAAACAGGUGCUAAUACCGGAUAAGAAAGCAGAUCGCAUGAUCAGCUUAUAAAAGGCGGCGUAAGCUGUCGCUAUGGGAUGGCCCCGCGGUGCAUUAGCUAGUUGGUAAGGUAACGGCUUACCAAGGCGAUGAUGCAUAGCCGAGUUGAGAGACUGAUCGGCCACAUUGGGACUGAGACACGGCCCAAACUCCUACGGGAGGCAGCAGUAGGGAAUCUUCCACAAUGGACGCAAGUCUGAUGGAGCAACGCCGCGUGAGUGAAGAAGGUUUUCGGAUCGUAAAGCUCUGUUGUUGGUGAAGAAGGAUAGAGGUAGUAACUGGCCUUUAUUUGACGGUAAUCAACCAGAAAGUCACGGCUAACUACGUGCCAGCAGCCGCGGUAAUACGUAGGUGGCAAGCGUUGUCCGGAUUUAUUGGGCGUAAAGCGAGCGCAGGCGGAAAAAUAAGUCUGAUGUGAAAGCCCUCGGCUUAACCGAGGAACUGCAUCGGAAACUGUUUUUCUUGAGUGCAGAAGAGGAGAGUGGAACUCCAUGUGUAGCGGUGGAAUGCGUAGAUAUAUGGAAGAACACCAGUGGCGAAGGCGGCUCUCUGGUCUGCAACUGACGCUGAGGCUCGAAAGCAUGGGUAGCGAACAGGAUUAGAUACCCUGGUAGUCCAUGCCGUAAACGAUGAGUGCUAAGUGUUGGGAGGUUUCCGCCUCUCAGUGCUGCAGCUAACGCAUUAAGCACUCCGCCUGGGGAGUACGACCGCAAGGUUGAAACUCAAAGGAAUUGACGGGGGCCCGCACAA
rnacentral:rRNA from 1 species